UACUUCGUAUAUAUUUCUUGGUCUACUCCUCCUUUGACAAUUGGAACAACGAUAAACUGAGAGUUGAGGGUCAGCAGUCAGCAGUCAGCAAAGAUCAGCAGCAUUCAACCCGCUCCUCUACUCCGUAUUACAAAUUCAGAUAAAAAAAAGUAAGAGCUGCUCAAUUUGAGGUUCUAUAUAUUAUUGAAAGAUUGAAUUGAGAUUGUGACCAGACAGAAAUUAUGCAGCAUGUCC